CCUACGGGGUGCAGCAGUGAGGAAUAUUGGUCAAUGGGCGGGAGCCUGAACCAGCCAAGCCGCGUGAGGGAAGAAGGUACAGCGUAUCGUAAACCUCUUUUGUCAGGGAACAAAGGCGGGGACUAGUCCCCGUAUGAGGGUACCUUAAGAAAAAGCAUCGGCUAACUCCGUGCCAGCAGCCGCGGUAAUACGGAGGAUGCGAGCGUUAUCCGGAUUUAUUGGGUUUAAAGGGUGCGGAGGCGGCCUGUUAAGUCAGGGGUAAAAGCCCGGGGCUCAACCCCGGCGAGACGUUGAAUCGGGGGGGCUGGAGUUGGAGAGAAGUACGCGAAAUGCGGGGUGUAGCGGGGAAAGGUU
rnacentral:rRNA from 1 species